GGUCAAGCUCGCUGACUUCAAGAAUGAAGCUGCGGGCCUCACAGUGAGUGUUACAGCUCUCUUCAGGAAUGAAGCCGCAGACACUCGCGGUUUGAGGAUACAUGUGAAAUUCCUGUCAUGGGAUUUUGUUGUACAGAUUAUUUCAUCACUCAGAUGUAAGGAUGACUUAUCAAGAAACUUUCACACAGCACAGGUAUGCACAACAGAGUUGAAGAGCUUGAAAUGCAGAGAGUACAUCUUGGAUCUGAGAGUACCCUUGAGCUCCGUGUUCAGCAAGAAAGCAGUGAGCGCCAUGGGCUCUGUGGUACUGGCAUCAGGUUACUCACCUGUCUUGGAGCUUAUCAACGAUCUACUUUACAUCUCAUAUUU
rnacentral:lncRNA from 10 species